CCUAAUUAAAGCCACGAUCUCAAGCAUCUUCAAUUUUCUUAAGCUGUAAACCCACGAACAUUAGGCUCCUCGUACCAAAAAAAACCUAACUUCAAUUCACCAAGAAACCUUCACAAAGCUCAAGCAAUUCACCACCGCCGGCGAAGGGCCGACACGUCUCCUUCCCAAUCGCUUCUCCAUCUUCCCAUUAUCGAUGGCGAGUCCUGCACUUCUUGGUUUUUCAUUCUCUUUAUUUUCCAGCUUGUCUGCAUCAAACUCCUAAACAUUGGCAUAUACAAUGUAGCUGGAGCAGGAAGUUCAAAAACUAAAAGAGGAGAAUCAAGAGUUAAGGAAGAAACAGGUGCGUCUUUUAAGAAUGUUUUUUUCCUCUUCUGAAACUUAAUUGUUGCAAUCAUGGAUAGGCUUGCUUAAUUGCUUUUCUGACUGCAGUCAGAAAUUGUGGAACAGCAAAAAAAACCAGGUAUGUUUAGUUUACAGUCGUUGGUUUUUCUUUUGUAAUCUACUUGUUGGAAGUUUCCUAAGCGUCUAGUUUUUUUUUUUUUUGUAAACAAGUGAUAGAGAUGAUGAACAACGCACAAACUGGUUCUCGGAAAAAGCUGAGGAGGACACAGAGUGGUCCAUGGUGAUCUGAUGUGCCAUUACUUAUAGUAGGUUUUUUGUAAAUAUUUUUGAGGGAGUGGAACUUUUUUUUUUUUUGUUUAUUGGAUAGAUGAGGAUUUGUAUUUUAGGUUAAAAGCUUCUAAAUUUAUAGUUUCCCUUACCUCUAAAACAUGAGCACUUGUAGGAAAGAGGAAGCAUGACAUGCAAAUCCCAUACAAACCUGUUGAAAAUGUAGUUUUAGGGCAUAUCCAAUUUCAACAUCUUUAUUUUUGGUGCCUUUUGGAUUCCCCUUACUCUGUUCUGUCUGAUUUUCGUAGCUUAGAAUUAUGUUGGUGGAGUGUAGUACUAGUGACUUUGAUAGUCUUUCGACAAUGAAGAAACAUGUACUGUAGAUCGUAACCUCUAAUAUAAAGGGCAUAAAAUUCCAUAAGUUAGUGGUUGUUGUAUGAGAGAAUCUAAUACUAUGAAAUUUGUGUUUUUUGACCCACUUCUGUUAGCUAAGAGUACAACUGCACAAGCUUCUGUCUGUGUUGUUUGAUUGUUUUAGUGAAAGUCAAGGGGGUAACUUUUUAAUUGUUCAGAGAUUGAUUCUUCCUUUCAUGAUUACACAAUUACGGAGUAGAUAUUCGCGUAUAAUGAAAAAAAUACGAGUAUAACUUUACAAAAGUAUAAGAGUAGUAUGAAAACUUGUUAUGCGUCCAUAAUUUUGUUUCUGCUUUGUGUAUUCUGCAGAGAGAGUGUUUUGCAAAAAGGUAUAUGGCGCAGAUGGGAACACGUGGGAAGAAAAUGAUCUUCUGGACGUUGAUCAUUAAUGAUCUUUGUAGCUAGUGCAUAUUGAAACUUUCUUACAAAUAUUUUGGGAAUCUCAUACCAAGUUAAAAAAUUUGAUGUACUUUAGAUUUGAACUUGUGAUGUGACUUAGGAGAAUGUUAUGUUAUAGUAGUUUUAUUUAAUUUAUUCUUUGUAGAACACAUUGGUCGGUUUGGAGAUUUUUUAUGCAUAUAUAUAGAGUUGAUGGAUUAUUAUUA